AAUCGGAGGACAGGAAGUAAUAAAAACGGCGGCUUUUGUUGUACAACUUAACCGACGUUUGAGCGAUGAUUUUUGUACAAAUAUACAAAUAUAAACAGUAAUAAUUGCGGACACCAAGGGACUUACACACUUAAUGGACAAAUAUUCUUCCAAAGAUAGGUUAAACAAACGAAAUAACAAGAAUCAUCGUCCAAACGUCGGUCAAGUUGUACAACAACGUUUUUUAUUACUUCCUGUCCUUCGAUU